rnacentral:lncRNA from 1 species
GGGUAACACACUAAAACCGACGAAAACGCAUUAAAUAUAAGAGGAGAACAACGACACAACACUAAAAUGUAACACACACAAAAACGGACCAAGCAUCAGACAAAAUCCCACGAGAAUAAAAAAUAUAACAUCAAAACCAAAUACAUGAAUUUGGGAUAGACAAGUACCGUGACACGUCUUAUCGCAAUGUGAAAUUACACUAAAAAAUAAGAGAAAACAAACGAAGCAACGUUAAAAUGUAACACACACAGAAACGAACAAUAAUAUAACAAUGGCCAUAUUCCUGACUUGGUACAGGACAUUUUUAAAGGAAAAAAUGGUGGGUUGAACCUGGUUUUGUGGCAUGCCAAACCUCGCACUUUAAUGGCAAUGUUAAAUAUAACAUUGAAAUGACAACAUAAUAUUACAGGACUACAAUUCAAAUAAAUAGGAGAACGUAUUAGACAAAGAAACACAUGAUUAAUGGAUAACAAAAAGCAUCAAGUUUAAAAUUCAAUACGCCAAAAACUCGC